rnacentral:misc_RNA from 1 species
GAUGAGAACGUAGCGAAAUGCGAUACGUAAUGUGAAUUGCAGAAUUCAGUGAAUCAUCGAAUCUUUGAACGCAUAUUGCGCUCUCUGGUAUUCCGGAGAGCAUGCUUGUUUGAGUAUCAGUAAACACCUCAACUCCCCUUUCUUUUUUUGAAAUGGGAGCUGGACUUGAGUGAUCCCAACGCUUUUCUCACCGAAAAGUGGCGGGUUACUUGAAAUGCAGGUGCAGCUGGACUUUUCUCUGAGCUAAAAGCAUAUCUAUUUAGUCUGCCUAAAAAACAGAUUAUUACCUUUGCUGCAGCUAACAUAAAGGAGAUUAGUUCUUGUGCUGACUGAUGCAGGAUUCACAGAGACAGCUUCGGCUGGCCUUUGUAAACUCGAUCUCAAAUCAAGUAAGACUACCCGCUGAACUUAAGCAUAUCAAUAAGCGGAGGA